AAAGCGUCCGUAGCCGGCCGAUCGGGUCCGUCGGGAAAUCCGCGUGCUCAACGCGCGGGCGAUCGGCGGAAACCAAUCGGCUUGGGGCCGGAAGACUCGAGGGGUACGUCUGGGGUAGGAGUGAAAUCCCGUAAUCCUGGACGGACCGCCGAUGGCGAAAGCACCUCGAGAAGACGGACCCGACGGUGAGGGACGAAAGCCAGGCUCUCGAACC
rnacentral:rRNA from 1 species